AAAAAAUCUAUUGUUAUAAUACUGGUUCAAGCAAAGUUCAAAGGUGAAAGUGAACGUUGGUUGUCGGAAAUACGUGAGAAAAAGAAGGCCGCGCCUAGAAUAUUUUGAAAACACACAAACUUAUUAAGCAGGAAGUCUGGAACAGAACAACAUGUCCUAGACUAAGAUAAAAAAAAAAUGGAAGGGGAUGCGACAUUAAAUUACAUCCGAAAAAUAACGACCGAAUCAUUCCAAGGCAAUGAUGAAGUAGUUUUAAAGAAGAAGAGCGUUAACGAGAACCAGAGAAACUUCUAAAGCGCACAGCCAUAGGGUUAGGCGAGGUUCCCGUUAGGCUGAUUAGCGAACUAGGAUCAAAAAGUAAGGAAGCUCUGUGGGAAGCAGUAGAAAAAGGCUUACAAGAUAGGCGAAUACCAGACAGCCGGAGACAAAGUAGAAUGAAUUUAAUGUAUAAAGAUAAGGGAGAAAAGAAUUGAAUUCACCCAUAUAGACCGUUGACCAUUAUAUCGGCAAUAUACACGUUAGCAAUACAGGUAAUUAAAUUACAAGUGCAAACAUGGGCAGAGAAUGGUAUGGGAGAACUUCAGAACGGGUUCAGAAUAGGCGUCUGGAUGAUAACUUAUUUGUUCUUAUUCAGUGUAUUGAAAUAUCCAAAGAGAGGAGACUGUUUUAUGUGGCUUUUUUAGAUAUUACCGGAGCGUAUGACAACGUAGACCACAAAAUUUUGUGGGAUAUUCUGGAAGGCAUAGGCAACGACUUUAUAUAGCUUUUGACAGAGACCUACCUAGAAAAUACAGUUUGCGUUGAAUGGGGAGGGAUGAGGAGCGAGAAGCAAGUUGAUAUCAACUAGGGACUGCUGUUUGUGAUGUACAUGGUAAGUAUGAAAAGGCCGCUAGAGGGAAGCAAUUUUGGGUUUUAUCUCUCAUACAAACAGGCGGUUAAAAUAGUAGAGCAGUAGCUUCCAGGUUCGUUUUAUGCCGACGACAUUGUGUUGCUAGCUAACAAGCGGAGUGUUAUGCAACGCCUGGAGAAUAUAUGUGCACAUGAAGGUAAGAAUUUAACAUUUGAAAUUUAGCGUUAGGAAAUCAGCUUUUAUGGUAAACAGUACUCAAUGAAAACAGUGAACAGACAGUAUCAAUACAGGGCCAGGAAAUACCUCGAGUAAAAGAACACAAAUACCUCAGUAUACACUUAAAAAAAAUCCACGCUUAAUCUCACGCUAAACUGUGAGUUUUAGCGUGACGCGCAUGUAAAUGAGGGGCGGACAAAGACAAUUGCACACGGUAAUAACAGGUGUACAAUAAUGAACAAGUACAAAGGGAAACAAAACAAGAUUAUACAAUAUUUAUGCAAUACUCCCAAAAAAGAAAACAGAACCUACAUGCUAACGUGCAUAGCACCCAAAGUACUGUUCGACUCACUGAAGAGGUCAAAAUUAUUGUUUACAUAAGCUAUAUACAUAUUCGUAUAGAGCUACCAAUCCCUCCAAAAUAUUACACAGACGCACGCACGCACGCACGUGCACAGCACACACGCCAAAAGGAAACGGCGACGCGCUCACAGGAAGCGCCUGACAAAAAAAAAAAAAGGAAAAGUGUGGGGAACCGAGGUCGUUUGCGCUGUCGCAUCUCCCUCUCCCAGAAGGAAUGAAGAGGUUCUUGGAAAGCAGGGACGGGCGAUUCUCUCUGUCAGCAUCAGCUCCCACCAGCGAGGACGGGGCGAGAAAGCGAAGCGGGACUUUCCUUGCUGUCUAUUUUUUCUUCGUCACGCUCAACGCCGGCUGCCCGCAGGGGCGCAGGCGAGUUCCCGCCAAAUGGCGCGGGGGCGCAAGCAGUUGCGUGAGUUGCCGCCAAAUGCUAGCUCUGGAUGCCAGCUCGUUCCGCGUCUCUUGGUAGACUAGUUGGUGCAUUUCUGUUAUCAUGGACUGCGCAUAGAAACGCAAACUACACAAAAGUGACAUGGACAAAAACAGCGCAAGCCCUUUCCAUGCAGUGGAGCCGCCGUAUCUCGCCGUUCAAGAUAUGCGUACUCGAAACACUGGAACGACACUGCUUAAAUUGAAGCACAGUGUGCGAAUGACCUGCUACGCUCGGAACUGUCGCCACCAUUCGGGAAGAAAUCAGAUGAAAAAACAAAACUGUAUAUGCCUGUACGAUAUACGUCUGGUGCAUUGCAGGUAAGAAUGGAUUGUGUGUGGCACAUCUCCGCAUGUGAACUAGAGUAGAUCUAGGAACAUCAGACAAGAAGCCGCGUAUGUGAAACCCUGCGGAUAGCCCAUAUGUAAGUUGUUCCUCAAUUUUUCUGUUGUUGUAUUUUCGUAGUUUACGUGUAAUACUUUGUCACCGCGGUCUCGACGUUAUGUAUACCUAUACAUUUGUCUCGUGGCAGUCUGCGUGCUAUUUUGUUUGUGCAACUGUGUUGUAUUCAUUUAUCGCGCUGCCUGGAUGUCUUUUUUUUUUUUAAAUGAUAUUCUGAGCCAAGCCAGUAAAUCUAUCCUUCCUGUCCUCAUGUUUCCUUGGGCGGCUCUAAAUUGUAUCUUAGAGGAAUAUUUAGCUUCAGAUUCCCGCAUGGAACAGAUGGUGAUUGACAUGCUGUGUUUUCUUUUUAGAGAAACUAUGUAUUCAUGUUUAUAUUUGGCUGAUUUUCAUUUUGUCAUUCAUACAAUACCGCAGCCAUAUGUCGUUCUGUCAUAGAACGUUGUUUCUAGAUAUAUUUGUUUUAUGUGGUUAAAACAUUUAAAACGAGAGCGAUCAUAUUUCUUAUCCUGACCAUUAUUUUUUACAGACCACGAUAACCACGUAUUUGGAUGUCUGGUUUAGCUCUACAUGCGCUGGUUCGUGCAGGUGAACUUUUUUUCGAGAUACGGAGGAACGGACAUCGGUCAUGCCGUGCGCACUCUUCUGCAGGGCAUACUUACAAAUGAAGCUGCACUGCAGUUCAGCUGGAAAGGGUCGCAGGGGAGGAAGCACGCCUUCGUGAAGCUCCCGGCCAUCACGAAUCUCAUUCUAACAUCUGUGAGGAGCACCUUCCCAGACGCUUCACUGGCUUCAGUGGCUGGAGUCACGAAACGCUGGUUAGUCGGAGCAGCUGACAGGGAUGGAGGCCGGAACGAGAGAAGGCGUCGUGACCCCGCUUCAAGCCCACGAUGAACUAGCAUUUGAAACUUUUGUGAACGUGUGGGUGUAUACAUAUCCAAGACAAAUACAAGAAAUAAAGACCUGUAUAAGA